UGGGUAACCUGCCUGUAAGACUGGGAUAACUCCGGGAAACCGGGGCUAAUACCGGAUGCUUGAUUGAACCGCAUGGUUCAAUCAUAAAAGGCGGCUUCGGCUGCCGUUUACAGAUGGACCCGCGGCGCAUUAGCUAGUUGGUGAGGUAACGGCUCACCAAGGCGACGAUGCGUAGCCGACCUGAGAGGGUGAUCGGCCACACUGGGACUGAGACACGGCCCAGACUCCUACGGGAGGCAGCAGUAGGGAAUCUUCCGCAAUGGACGAAAGUCUGACGGAGCAACGCCGCGUGAGUGAUGAAGGUUUUCGGAUCGUAGAGCUCUGUUGUUAGGGAAGAACAAGUACCGUUCGAAUAGGGCGGUACCUUGACGGUACCUAACCAGAAAGCCACGGCUAACUACGUGCCAGCAGCCGCGGUAAUACGUAGGUGGCAAGCGUUGUCCGGAAUUAUU
rnacentral:rRNA from 1 species